rnacentral:snoRNA from 1 species
UGGGGCCCCUCUAAUAAGGGGGCCCCCCUAAUAAAGGGCUCCCCUAAUUAGGGCCCCCCCUGAAUGAGGGGGCCCCCUAAUAGGCCCCCCAAAUUUGGGGCCCCCCUGAAUAAGGGGCCCCCCCUAAUU